AGAGUUUGAUCAUGGCUCAGGAUGACCGCUGGCGGUAUGCCUUACACAUGCAAGUCGUACGAGAGUUUUUAACUCAAGUGGCGGACGGGUGAGUAACACGUAAGAAUUUACCUUUAGGAGGGGGACAACAACUGGAAACGGUUGCUAAUACCCCAUAUGCUUUCGAGUAAAAUGGAUUUUCCGCCUAAAGAGAAGCUUGCGGCUGAUUAGCUUGUUGGUGAGGUAACGGCUCACCAAGGCGACGAUCAGUAUCUGGUUUGAGAGGGCGAUCAGACACACUGGAACUGAGACACGGUCCAGACUCCUACGGGAGGCAGCAGUGGGGAAUUUUCCGCAAUGGGCGAAAGCCUGACGGAGCAAUACCGCGUGAGGGAUGACGGCCUAUGGGUUGUAAACCUCUUUUUUCAGGGAGGAAUCAAUGACGUGUACCUGAAGAAUAAGCAUCGGCUAACUCCGUGCCAGCAGCCGCGGUAAUAC
rnacentral:rRNA from 1 species